UAAGAGAAGAAGAAGAAGAAGAAGAAGAAGCCUUCGGCCGCCCGGAUACAAACGAGCCGGGAGUUUUCCCGCGUUUUCUAUCGGGCAUCUUCCCGCCCGUUGAUCGGGUUUCAUUUCAUCACCCUUACCGCCCGGUGCGGGUCUGAACUCCGUGAUGACGUGAUGGCGUGAUGGCCCGAUGACGUGAUGACGUGAUGGCCCGAUGACGUGAUGGCCCGAUGACGUGAUGACGUGAUGGCGCUCACCUGGCAGAGUUUCAGGCGCCAGUGGUGUCGGAGGACAUCGGACGGAGACGAUCUCGUCUUCAGACGCCGACCGCCAACAACUCGCUCCGUCCCACUGCAUCUCGCAACCUGCCGCAGAGAAAACUGAGCUAAGAAACAUUUAGUUUUCGACUGAUGUCAUAUUUUCUUUACUCCAGAUGAUCGGUCACCUGCCGUGUCGUUGGCGUCCGUCGUCAUCUUCACUUCCCACUCGUUUUCUUUCUCCAGCAGAUGAAGAACGACGGAACAAUCUGGAUGUGUUGAAGCAACCUGACGGAGAAAAGACUCAUCAUCUCCCAAUGAAUCAUAACUUCUCUUCAUCAUCAUCUCUUUUGACUCUGCGAACUACAAAAAAUACAUCAAUAAAAAAGUUGAUAUUUUUUCUUGAUUGUGAUAACUUCCUUGUGAACUCGACAACGUAGCGUGUGUCUUGUGACGAUCAGGAUGAAAACGCAGCAGUGAGACUCGAGGUGACGGUUUCAAACAUUUAAGGUUUUAAGAAUAGAAAAUAAACUCCCUGUGGUUUUCAUGGUUUAGUUUUCAAAUUGACUUUUAGUCAAAUUUCCAUCAUGUGAAAGUGUUUCCUCAGAAUCAGAGUCGACUCGUGUGCAGCAUUUUGAAGAAGGAUGAAAUAUGACUGAGCUCUUUUUGAUAUUUCUGUAUUUUUUAUUAAUUCUUUUAUAUUACGUUUUAAUAAAAAAAUAUUCAUGGGC